UACAGAGGUGCCGAGCGUUAGGCGGAAUCACUGGGCUUAAAGCGUGUGUAGGCGGACUUCUAAGUCCCUUGUGAAAUCCCACGGCUCACCCGUGGAACUGCUGGGUAUACUGGUCGUCUUGAGCCACCUAGGGGCGAGCGGAACAAAUGGUGGAGCGGUGAAAUGCGUAGAUAUCAUGUGGAACGCCAACGGUGAAAACAGCUCGCUGGGGGUGUGCUGACGCUGAGACACGAAAGCCAGGGGAGCGAACGGG
rnacentral:rRNA from 1 species